UCACACUAUCAUUAACUGAAUCCAUAGGUUAAUGAGGCGAACCGGGGGAACUGAAACAUCUAAGUACCCCGAGGAAAAGAAAUCAACCGAGAUUCCCCCAGUAGCGGCGAGCGAACGGGGAGGAGCCCAGAGCCUGAAUCAGCAUGUGUGUUAGUGGAAGCGUCUGGAAAGGCGCGCGAUACAGGGUGACAGCCCCGUACACAAAAGCGCAUGUGCUGUGAGCUCGAUGAGUAGGGCGGGACACGUGGUAUCCUGUCUGAAUAUGGGGGGACCAUCCUCCAAGGCUAAAUACUCCUGACUGACCGAUAGUGAACCAGUACCGUGAGGGAAAGGCGAAAAGAACCCCGGCGAGGGGAGUGAAAAAGAACCUGAAACCGUGUACGUACAAGCAGUGGGAGCCCCACCACCAAAGCAUUUGCUGUACCGCGUUGACGGAGCGAAGCGACGUCAAACCGAUAAAACAGCAGUGUAAAGUGAGCCGCAGGGC
rnacentral:rRNA from 1 species